CCGUAACCAAAUAAACAGACAAAUAAAAUAUUGAUAGUGGUUCAGUGUACAAUGUCUUCCAACAGCAGCCUCCUGGUAGUGUUUGCAGCCUGUUACUGGUAGAACUGUCCUAAGGGAUCUGGUGACAGUU
rnacentral:snoRNA from 1 species